UGGAUUUCAGCCGAGGACGACCGGUCCUUUUAGGAUCCUGGUUUGGCCGAGGCAUCUCUUGGUGUACGUGAUGGCGCUUGAUUGUGCUACACGGACUCCAGGGCUUUUACUUUGAGGAAAUUAGAGUGUUCCAAGCAGGCAUUCGCCUUGUAUAUAUUAGCAUGGAAUAAUAGGAUAGGACCUCGGUCUUAUUUUGUUGGUUUCAGGGACUGAAGUAAUGAUUAAUAGGGAUAGUCGGGGGCAUUUGUACUUAACUGUCAGAGGUGGAAUUCUUGGAUUUGUUAAAGACGAACUACUGCGAAAGCAUUUGCCAAGGAUGUUUUCAUUGAUCAAGAACGAAAGUUAGGGGAUCGAAGACGAUUAGAUACCGUCCUAGUCUUAACCAUAAACCAUGCCGACUAGAGAUUGGAGGUCGUUACAUUGUGAUGCCUUCAGCACCUCGUGAGAAAUCAAAGUCUAUGGGUUCCGGGGGG
rnacentral:rRNA from 1 species